GAACAGGAGGCUGACAACCAUCGACUGCCAGCUGAGGAAGUCGGAGCUGAGCAGGAAACACCUGGAGAUCUCCAAUAGGAAGCUGCUGGGCUUUGCACAGAACGUCCACAAAGUGCUGACAACACCCAGCCUGUUUGGAGGAGAAAGCGGCAGCAACAGGUCAUCUCCAGCCACAGACAGCCUCGACACCCCGUCACCGCUCCCUGACCCCGCCUUCCAACUGGCUGUGGAGGCCAAAGAGCUGGUAGCAGGAGUCU